ACACUUUCCAGCAGUGGAAAUAUGAUCAAGAAUGUGGUUUCCCAGGGUGAGGUUCAUCCAUUGUACACCUGGGUGGGUUGACUCAUUUGGUUUUCCCAAAAUGUGGGAAAUGCAACUGCAAAAUUUUUGGUAGUCCGGAACAACCUUUGUGCAGUUCUGUG